UACGUAGGGGGCAAGCGUUGUCCGGAUUCAUUGGGCGUAAAGAGCGUGUAGGCGGCCAGGUAGGUCGGUUGUGAAAACUGGAGGCUCAACCUUCAGAGGUCGACCGAAACCAUCUGGCUAGAGUCCGGGAGAGGAGAGUGGAAUUCCUGGUGUAGCGGUGAAAUGCGUAGAGAUCGGGAGGAACACCAGCGGCGAAGGCGGCCUUCUGGACCAGCACUGACACUCAAGCACGAAAGCGUGGGGAGCAAACAGGG
rnacentral:rRNA from 1 species